rnacentral:rRNA from 1 species
UACGGAGGGUGCGAGCGUUGUCCGGAAUCACUGGGCGUAAAGGGCGCGUAGGCGGCAUGCCAAGCGUGUGGUGAAAGCCCGGGGCUCAACCCCGGGUCGGCCGUGCGGACUGGCGUGCUCGAGCACUGUAGGGGCGGGUGGAAUUCCGGGUGUAGCGGUGGAAUGCGUAGAGAUCCGGAAGAACACCGGUGGCGAAGGCGGGUCUCUGGGCAGUAACUGACGCUGAGGAGCGAAAGCGUGGGGAGCGAACAGG